GAGGAAUAUUGGUCAAUGGAGGCAACUCUGAACCAGCCAUGCCGCGUGUAGGAAGAAUGCCCUAUGGGUUGUAAACUACUUUUAUUUGGGAAGAAACCCCUCUACGUGUAGGGGGCUGACGGUACCAAAGGAAUAAGGACCGGCUAACUCCGUGCCAGCAGCCGCGGUAAUACGGAGGGUCCAAGCGUUAUCCGGAAUCAUUGGGUUUAAAGGGUGCGCAGGCGGUAAAGUAAGUCAGUGGUGAAAUCCCUUCGCUCAACGAAGGAACUGCCAUUGAUACUGCUAUACUUGAAUAUAGUUGAAGUAGGCGGAAUGUGUAGUGUAGCGGUGAAAUGCUUAGAUAUUACACAGAACACCGAUAGCGAAGGCAGCUUACUAAACUAAUAUUGACGCUCAUGCACGAAAGCGUGGGGAGCGAAC
rnacentral:rRNA from 1 species